AAACACAGACUGAUGGUGGCUGAAUGCCCUUCUCCAAAAGCCUCCCCUCACCUCUUCCCCUCAGUGGUUCGCUUCACUUUGGACAUGGAAUUUCUAACCUAACAAAGGAUCUAGCGAACAUUUGACUGGAAGGAAGGAAACUGCAGCUGACCCGUAUUCUCACCCUCACAAUUUGCCAAGCUGCUGAAAGGAUGUGGUGAAACAUCAGCUUUUUCUCUUAAAAAAAAGAGAUCCCUAGACCUGAAAGAUUAUGAAAGCUGAACCAAAGGGUCUGAGGGCAAAACCCAAUUUACGUACAAGAUACAGCAGUACUGCUGAAAGGAAAGUUCCCUGGCAGUGACACACCAGAGAGUCUUGUUAGGUGCUGUCCUGGCAGAGGUUCCCCUAAAUCUCUUUGGUCCCUACUACUCCUUUCCCUCAGGGGUUUGAGAGCAUGCAGAGCUGACUGCCAGACACACAAAGCCAAAAGGAUUUUUCUUCACCCCAGGACUUCAACAACCCCGGCCAGCAUUAACCUAUCCAGGAGCUUUAGGCUCAUUUGAGGAAAUAAGUGCUGAUGCUUGUGAUAGGAGCCAAAGCCCCACCUGGAAAACUGAUUUUCAGAAUGUAAAAGUGGGGGCUGGUAGUUUCCUGUUUAAGGUCUGGGCAAUAAGUGACAUAACCUUGUGUUAUGUUGUUACCACUGCUUCCAAUGUGUGAUGAAGUAAUUUAAAUGUUUGUUUUCUAAAUGGCUAAGAGAUGUCUCAAGAUAAAAGCCUAAAAAUCAUGAAGGUAAAUACAUUUUAGUAUUAGAAGGACACAAGAUAUUUGCUGCAUUGCAAACCUUUAUCAGGUUUCAGCACCCCUUUUCAAAUAGCUAACAGGAGCUGUUGUUUCAACAAUUCUGCAUAGUGGAUGUUAAACACAGAAGCCUAACAACCAUGCUCAUUUACAGUUUUUCCAUCAAGGAAGUGAUGUGAUUAGCUUUAAUUUAUGAUACUUCACUUGUAAAGCAAGAGAAACAAGCACAUUAAUUGCUAUUUACCUUUAACAGAUAAGCAGUUGGAUUAGAUCACAUAGAAAAUUAGUCCAUUUUAAUAUAAGUUUUUUCAGGCUAAAAAGUUUCUAGCCUGUUUUUCUCGGUAGUAUGAGCCUGAACAAAAGCUUCCUGCUAUGGUCCAAAGAAAAGGAAA